CUCCCCCCCUCCAGACAGUACUACCCAGACCCCCACCCUGCCCAUACCGUCCAGCUGAUGAGAGUGGCCAAGCUGCAGCACUUCCUGGUCCAGCUGGAGGAGCUGCUCACUCUUUCAGACAGGCUUAUGACAUCAUGAAAGUCACCCACGGCAACCAGCACCCCCUGACCUCUGACCUCACCAGGAAGUUGGAGGAGUGUCGCGCCGAGAUGGACCGCAGCUAGCAACCUCACCUAGCAACGCCGGCACGCCCAGCACACAAUGCAGAGAGCUGGAUGAAACAAUCAAUCACCCAAACUGUCUAGUUGACGUUUGGUUAAGUGUGUGUGUGUGUGCGCGUGUGUGUGUGUGCGUGCGUGCGUGCGUGUGUGUGUGCGUGCGUGUGUGUGCGUGUGUGUCAUUAGUCAAAGUCGAGUUGGCUCUUGCUCACACAGACCUUCUGUAAUCACUUAAGAUUGGCUAAUAAAAACAAGUCAUAUUUUCGA